rnacentral:rRNA from 1 species
GAUGAACGCUGGCGACGUGCCUAAUACAUGCAAGUCGAGCGAACAGACGAGGAGCUUGCUCCUCUGACGUUAGCGGCGGACGGGUGAGUAACACGUGGAUAACCUACCUAUAAGACUGGGAUAACUUCGGGAAACCGGAGCUAAUACCGGAUAAUAUAUUGAACCGCAUGGUUCAAUAGUGAAAGACGGUUUUGCUGUCACUUAUAGAUGGAUCCGCGCCGCAUUAGCUAGUUGGUAAGGUAACGGCUUACCAAGGCGACGAUGCGUAGCCGACCUGAGAGGGUGAUCGGCCACACUGGAACUGAGACACGGUCCAGACUCCUACGGGAGGCAGCAGUAGGGAAUCUUCCGCAAUGGGCGAGAGCUUGACGGAGCAACGCCGCGUGAGUGAUGAAGGUCUUCGGAUCGUAAAACUCUGUUAUUAGGGAAGAACAAAUGUGUAAGUAACUAUGCACGUCUUGACGGUACCUAAUCAGAAAGCCACGGCUAACUACGUG